rnacentral:tRNA from 1 species
GUCCCUGUAGUUUAAUGGAUAAAACGCGGGCUUGCGGAGCCCGAAACUGCAGGUUCGAAUCCUGCCAGGGACG